rnacentral:rRNA from 1 species
UACGUAGGGGCAAGCGUUGUCCGGAAUUAUUGGGCGUAAAGAGCGUGUAGGCGGCCAGAUAAGUCCGCUGUGAAAUCUCGAGGCUCAACUUCGAGCUGUCGGUGGAAACUAUCUGGCUAGAGUCCGGAAGAGGAGAAUGGAAUUCCUGGUGUAGCGGUGAAAUGCGCAGAUAUCAGGAGGAACACCGGUGGCGAAGGCGGGUCUCUGGGCCGAUACUGACGCUGAGGAGCGAAAGCGUGGGGAGCGAACAGG